rnacentral:rRNA from 1 species
GUAGGGAAUCUUGCGCAAUGGGCGAAAGCCUGACGCAGCCAUGCCGCGUGUAUGAUGAAGGUCUUAGGAUUGUAAAAUACUUUCACCGGGGAAGAUAAUGACGGUACCCGGAGAAGAAGCCCCGGCUAACUUCGUGCCAGCAGCCGCGGUAAUACGAAGGGGGCUAGCGUUGCUCGGAAUUACUGGGCGUAAAGGGCGCGUAGGCGGAUAGUUUAGUCAGAGGUGAAAGCCCAGGGCUCAACCUUGGAAAUGCCUUUGAUACUGGCUAUCUUGAGUUCGGAAGAGGUAAGUGGAAUGCCGAGUGUAGAGGUGAAAUUCGUAGAUAUUCGGCGGAACACCAGUGGCGAAGGCGACUUACUGGUCCGAUACUGACGCUGAGGCGCGAAAGCGUGGGGAGCAAACAGG